rnacentral:tRNA from 1 species
GCGCUGAUAGUGUAAUGGCUAACACCUGAGCCUUCCAAGCUCAAAAUUCGGGUUCGAAUCCCGAUCGGCGCA